GCAGCCUUCCCUUGCAGACUACCAGGGAAUAACUCACUGGGCAGGGCGCUCGGUGGGCUGCCCACAGCUACCACCAGGCCCAGCUUCACGCUGGCUGCCGCCACGCGUCACAGGGCUGACGACACAGGAAGACAGAACAGGCACACGCCCGGAGCCGCAGCCCCGAGCCGUCCGGGCCCCGCACCGAGCAGCCCUCCCGCAGGGCGGCUGGGCGAGGCGACGAGCACUCCGGGGCUCCUCAACCCCGCACGGCAACGCCGUGCCCCCAGCGCCGCCGGGGGCCGGGCCGGGCCGAGUCGCGGGGCUGCCCUGCCACCUGCCGGCACAGCCGGGCUGCGCGCCUCCUGCGGCCCGGCCUGCCCGGGGGCCCGAGCGGAGGAGUGCUGGGCCCCCAGGCACCUCCAUGUUGUCGCCCGCACUGAGGUGGUUGGCUGUGACGCCGAGCAGCUCCAGUGCUGGCGCACAGAGAGGCCUGGAAGAGGCUGUACCGCGCCGCAGAGCUCACGGGAAACUCUUGGUUUUUGGUUUUUCUCAGCGAUUGUUGGUCACGCUGUGCUUUCAGCACUGAGCUUUUGUUCCUUCUCCUCCCCACCUACCACACAAUCAUCCGACUGUGCGACGAUCUGGCCACCCAGCCCCUCCCCUCGCAAAAAACACGAGACCGGAGGAACUCCUCUCCAUCCGCAUCCGAGCGAGGUGGGGAGGAGACCUUUCCCAUGUGGUGCUGGCCUUUCAGCAGUGUUUUCCUGCAGUGCUGGAGUAUCUCUCUGGCUCCAACCCAGACUACUGGUUUCUGUUGCCAACCAACCGUUCUGUGGUGGCCAUGGUGUGUGGUCGUCUUGGGAUGGGCAUGAGGCUUCCUCUAACAUGCAGAAGGACUUGGGAGUAGGAUGGAUGCGAGCAGCCUGCUUACGUCUAGGUGGUGGCUUUCAGGCCAGGCAGAAGUUUCAGGGGCUCAGCGUGGUACCCUGUUGCCCAGAGGCAAUGACGCCUCUGAAAGAUGCAGUCCCUCCCAGAGGUGCCCAUCUUGUAGCAGCUUGGGAGAGAGCCUGUGUUCAAAGAAGCCAUGCCACCCCCCAGGCUUGCUGUCAGAGCCACCUGCCCUUUGUUGAAUGUCCUUCUCUGAUCAUCACCCACUGA
rnacentral:lncRNA from 1 species